rnacentral:rRNA from 1 species
AUACGGAGGGUGCAAGCGUUAAUCGGAAUUACUGGGCGUAAAGCGCGCGUAGGCGGUUACUUAAGUCAGAUGUGAAAGCCCCGGGCUCAACCUGGGAACUGCAUUUGAAACUGAGUGACUAGAGUUUAAGAGAGGGGAGUAGAAUUCCGGGUGUAGCGGUGAAAUGCGUAGAGAUCCGGAGGAAUACCAGUGGCGAAGGCGGCUCCCUGGCUUAAAACUGACGCUGAGGUACGAAAGCGUGGGUAGCAAACAGGAUUAGAAACCCCGGUAGUCC